rnacentral:misc_RNA from 1 species
UAAUAAGUGUUCUACUGCACUUUUUAAAAAUAGUACUCACCUUGUGUGCAAUGUUUUGUUUGUGAAUUCAAACAAUCAAUUACCAACCAUUUAUUUUGAACACCUUUUGUCUGAAAAAUAUUAUGAAUACUUAAUUCAAAAUA